rnacentral:rRNA from 1 species
AGUACGUGAAACUGCUUAGAGGUUAAACCCGAUGAACCUGAAUAUCCAUUAUGGAAAAUUCAAUGCUAAUAGUACAAUGUAUGUAAUAUUGUAAAAAUAGUAUGCAAUUUUUCCAUAUAAGGACAUUGUAAUCUGUUAAUGUAAUAAAUAUUUAUCAAAAGAUUCAUUACUUAAGUUUAUUCAAAUUGUUUAUCUUCGGAUAUUCAACAUAAAAUAAAUGUAUUGAAUUGGAUAAAUCGUUGACAGAUAUAAUUAUAUAUGGUGCUCAAAUUUUACGGAAUUUUACAAUGAUAAAUAGUUCUUAUGAUCUAUUUAUUUAAUUGUUUGCGCUAUUAUGAUUAACAAUGCGAUAGAUUCAGGAUACCUUCGGGACCCGUCUUGAAACACGGACCAAGGAGUCUAACAUAUGUGCAAGUCAUUGGGUAUUUAUAAUAAAACCCAAUGGCAUAAUUAACUUAACUUAUAUAAUGGGAUUAAUUUAUAAUUUAUUAUGAAUUAUUUAUUCAAUCCCGGGGCGUUCUAUAUAGUUAUGUAUAAUAGUAUUUAUAUUAUUUAUACCUCUAACUGGAGCGUACCUUGAGC